UACGUAGGUGACAAGCGUUGUCCGGAUUUACUGGGCGUAAAGAGCGCGCAGGCGGUCGAUCAAGUCGAGUGUGAAAGCCCCCGGCUCAACUGGGGAGGGUCAUUCGAUACUGGCGGGCUCGAGGCAGGUAGGGGGAAGCGGAAUUCCCGGUGUAGUGGUGGAAUGCGUAGAUAUCGGGAGGAACACCAGUGGCGAAGGCGGCUCCUGGACCUGUUCUGACGCUGAGGAGCGAAAGCGUGGGGAGCAAACAGGG
rnacentral:rRNA from 1 species